rnacentral:rRNA from 1 species
GUGAUAUAUUUAGUUUAGAUUUAUUUGUGAUGAGGUUUGCUAAGGUAUAGGCAAAUUUUUUGUGUUUAUAAGUAAUGUAGAAAGAAAAUUUUAUUGUUUGGAGCUAGAGUUGAUGAGUACCGUGAGGGAAAUUGGUUUUUGUGUUUUAUUUUUUUGUUAGUAGGGAUUAAUUCCUGUACCUUUUGCAUCAUGGUUUUUUAAGAGGUUUUUUAGAUAAAGUUGGCCCGAAAAAAAACGAGCUAUUUUUUGGCUUGCGUCAUCGUUGUAAAGAUGUGCUAAGACUUAAAAAUAGGAGUGAUAUUCUUUUCGCGUUUUUUGAUAGCUGGUUGGCUAGGAGAGGCAUUGGAGUGCUCCCUCAAGUUUAAGGUUCUCGUCAAGUGAAUGUAUAAUUUGUUGACUGUGGCGUGGAGUGUUGUAAUUGAGGUUUGUGUGGGAAAGGAUUAGCUUUCUCAUAUUAUUAAAAAGUCAGGUAGGUGGCGCCGUUUAGUAGUUUGGUAGGCUUGGAGUUGGUCAUCUUUUAAGUUUGUUUUAAAAUAUCUACUAUUGUUGCUGAAAAUUUUUAUGUAUGACUUUUAGAUUGGAUUGUAGUACUGGCUUCAUAGGUGAAAUUAAGUUUUUCUAUGGAAUAAUGAGGAAAUGAGUAUUUAUUUUAAUUUAGUUUGCCUUUAUUAAUUAAGGUAAAUUGGUGAUGGAAUUUUAUUUUUAGAUUGAGCUAAAAUAAAUCUUGGAAAGGAACUCGGCAAAGAUUGGCCUCGCCUGUUUAGCAAAAACAUCGCUCCUUGGUGUAGAUUUGAAUAAGGAGUCGGACCUGCCCGGUGACCUACGGGUUAAACGGCCGCGGUACACUGACCGUGCAAAGGUAGCACAAUCACUUGCCUUUUAAUUGGAGGCUGGUAUGAAUGGUUUGACGAGGGCUGAGCUGUCUCUCCUUGAAUAUUUAAAAAUUAACUUCUAGGUGAAAAGGCCUAGAUUAAGCUGAGGGACGAGAAGACCCUGUUGAGCUUUAGUGUGGAGUGGAGUGGUUGUUCCUAUUGUGAUAGAGGACUUUAGGUUUGUUCUUACAUCUUUAGUUGGGGUGACUAGGGAACAUAGAAAGCUUCUCUGUUGAUUUUUGUGGAUUUUUAGUUUACUGACGAAUGAUCCAGCAUUGUUGAUUAUCGGAAAAAGUUACCACAGGGAUAACAGCGUAAUCUUUCUGGAGAGUUCACAUUGAAAGAAGGGUUUGCGACCUCGAUGUUGGAUUAAGGUGUCCUGAGGGUGUAGCAGCUUUCAUUGGUUGGUCUGUUCGACCAUUAAAACCUUACAUGAUCUGAGUUCAGACCGGCGUAAGCCAGGUUGGUUUCUAUCUUCAGUUAUAUUGUUUCUUUGGCUAGUACGAAAGGACCGCUUUAAGACAAAUUUUGGGGUUUGUGUUGGUUGAUUACAUUUAAAAUUAAUAUAAGGUUUAUUCGUAGUGUAGCGAUA